CAGUAGCCGCGGGAAAACGGAGGGUGCAAGCGUUAUCCGGAUUUAUUGGGUUUAAAGGGUCCGUAGGCGGACUUAUAAGUCAGUGGUGAAAGCCUGUCGCUUAACGAUAGAACUGCCAUUGAUACUGUAAGUCUUGAGUAUAUUUGAGGUAGCUGGAAUAAGUAGUGUAGCGGUGAAAUGCAUAGAUAUUACUUAGAACACCAAUUGCGAAGGCAGGUUACCAAGAUAUAACUGACGCUGAGGGACGAAAGCGUGGGUAGCGAACAGGAUUAGAUACCCGUGUAGUCCCUGUCUCUUAUAC
rnacentral:rRNA from 1 species